GAACCUUCAGAUUUCAGAUUUGAUUAGGGUUUUAGCGUCUUCGGACCAGGCUUCAUUCCCCCCAAUUGUUGCUCCCUGUUUACUCCAUAUUUCUUCCUUCUUUUCAAAUUAGGGUUUCAGAUCCAGUGAAUGAACCCUUGUUAAAGGUUUGAUCUCUUACCUUACUUUCUCAGAUUCAUUUACAUGCGUUAUUGAUUGUUUGCAUGGAAAGAAAUAGUUUCCUUUUUAAAUAGGUCUUUGGGGACCGAUAGAAAAAAAAAGUUUUCAGGUAUUUGCAGAUUGGUGUAAUGAUGAAAGAAUCUGACUUUCUUUCUCCUCUUGGAAUCUGAAAAGUUUCAUCAUGACAAACUUUUUAUACAUGUGUUUGUAUUUUUGAACUUUUCUACAUUGCUAUGAUUUUGCUAUGAUUGUUUCUUUUUGGAUCUUCAUGGUAUUGAAUGAUGAUGACGAUGAUAGUUUUUA
rnacentral:precursor_RNA from 1 species